UACGUAGGGGGCAAGCGUUGUCCGGAUUUAUUGGGCGUAAAAGGCUUGUAGGUGGCCACGCCAAGUCGGAUGUGAAAUCUCCCGGCUCAACUGGGAGGGGUCAUUCGAUACUGGCGGGCUCGAGGCCGGUAGGGGGAAGUGGAAUUCCCGGUGUAGUGGUGGAAUGCGUAGAGAUCAUGAGGAAGACCAGUGGCGAAGGCGGGUCUCUGGACAGUUCCUGACACUGAGGCACGAAGGCCAGGGGAGCAAACGGG
rnacentral:rRNA from 1 species